GGGGGGGCACGGCCCUUCCUCCCGGCGCUCGGGUGGCUGUGCCCACACACACACCGCCCCCCCUCCCCCCAGCAGCUCAAGGUGUCCCAGCUGCAGGUCUUGGGGUGUGCCAGAGACCAGACCCCCCUCAGCCAGCCUUGUGCUUCCUUGUGGUGGAGUUAAGCAGGGAAAACCUUGGGGCUUCCCUCCUCUGCUGUGAUCUGGAUACAGAGGGGCACCCCCUAGUGCAGGCAGAGCCAGAGCAAGAGCAAGGACCUCACGUAUUGCCUCCUUCUCCCCAGAGGAGAAGAACUGCUUCCUCCCACCAUGGCCCGCACACACCAGGCCAGGACACACCAAGGCCCCGUCCAGACUCCCUUCUGCAGCAAAGCCCUGGCACUGCCAGCUGGAAGCCGUACCCCACACUUCUGAGAGGAAGCAGGCAGCUCUCUAGUUGAAGGCAGGAAGCCUGCUACACUUUGGAGCCUGGGAUCCAUCACUUGGGGGUCCUGCUACAUGUUCAAAUUCAAGCUGGCUAGACACCAGCUCUAGAGUUCUUACACAUUUUUCAAGUACUAAUUUGAUAGCUGGUUGGCUCUUUUUAUAGUCAUUUUUAUCAUGUGAUAAUGAAAUUGCAAGUGUGGCUGGAUUUGCCAGGUACUUGUGUGAUAUUUACUUUGCACAUGUGGCUGGUCUAAAUUUAUUGCGCAGUUCACCAGUUAAUUGGACCAUAUAUAUAAUGCGUCACAAAAGCCACAGUAUUUCUGCCAUGCACACUCUACACUCUAGCAUGUACCAUUUCCUUUGGCAGACUGUAAUGCCCGUGCUAACGGUCAUUCCAUUGUAGGCACAUGCUAGACAUGAUUUGUAUAAGGGAACUGGACCCCAACUUCCAGUCAUUUGGAUGCUGCAUAGGCCUGUGUGCUUUUAAUGAUUCCAUCUUUUAGCUACAAUUAGCUAUUGAUGUAGCUAGCCAUCACCACUCAUCAUGAGAAAAAGGAGAAAGCAGUGUGAGUGAGGGAAAAAGAAAGACAAGAGCUUCAAAAGCUCUUUGUUUUGCAUGCCUAAAACAAGCAAUGUUGAAAGCAUCUGGUGUUCAUAGGAGUGGCACUUACUGAAGCACCAGAAAACAAUCCCUAAACCAGGGGAUCCUUGACUGUGGUUUGUGGACUACUGGGUAUCCAGAGAUUGCACUGAGCCCUGGGGCCUUUGCAGUGCUUUUAAUCAACAGUUUGAUGAUAUGGGGAGGUGUUUCUCUGCAAGGAAAUUUGAGGGUUGACUGUGGUCCAAAAGGAAUUUGAGGGUUGACUGUGGUUUGUUGGUCCAAAAAAGUUUGUAAAGCACUGUGUUAGACUAGGGCUGUUCAACUCCCAGCUUGCAAGCCACAUCUGGCCCCUGGCACUGUUAUCCAGCUCAUAAGAUUCCCCUGGAUUUGUGGGCAACCCAGCGGGCUGUGGCCCUGUGUGCUGGGUUUGGCAUGCAGGGCAGCAGGGGUCCUGAUCCCAGCAUGCAGGGUCAGGUGGAGGUGGCAAGGGGCCCUAGAGUAUGGUCCUGGUGUAUGGGGCUGGGUGGAGGCAGCAUGGGGCCCCAGAGCCUGCUCUUAGUGUUUGGGAUCCAGUUUGACCCACAGACCAGCCCCAUGCCAUUCAUCUAUCUGGCUUGCACCACUGCAUUAGACAUGUCUGAAAAAAAAUUCUCUUAUGCAUUUGUGUGCACACAUUUGUGUGAACAGACACACACACACACACAGAAGGUGUAUAAAUUCCAUCACUAAAAAUCAAAAUGUCAAAGGUUCUCCCAGGCAUAGGGUUAAGGCACAAUAGUUUCUGCAUCCAAUGGCACCUCAUUUAAGGGAGUGAUGUGCCUAGCAUCACAUCUGGCUACAAUGUUUCUUAAACCAGAUUGUUCACUACAAGCAUUAGGACCUCAUUUCACAAUAAUGUUGAGGAUUUAAACACACAAAUAUAACAACACACAAAAAGUUAGAAGUGCUUUUUUUGACAGCAAAAAAGAAAAAAAAAGGUUUCUACCUGUGCGUGCAUCAGCAUUCUACAGCUGCUUGUACAAACCCAUUCCCCUGUCAAGUCUUGCCUGAAAUCACAUUUCUCCUGUGACAUCACGCAUCCAACUUACAUACAAAGGUGGACAUACUAAGGGCUGGUGCUCCACUUGCUUUCAGUCCACUGUGUAUAUUGCAGGACAGAGUCCUGUCACAUUUACAUUAAUGCAACUUAAUUGGGUCAGAUCUUCUCCCUUGUUACUCAUGUGUACUCCAAACUAGUGCUAUGACAUUACUGCAGGCAUACAUUAAGAUGCAUUUGGUACAAGAGAGUCAUUGAGUACAAUGUUUGAACACUUUCAGGGUAAAGCCUUCCUCCCUGGACCAUAAAGUUAGCCUCCCUCCUAUAUUUGCUUUCCUUCUGGUUCCAUGACUUACAUUCUUGGCUGUCCCAGUGGCUAGCCUCAAGACUGGGCAGUGGAAGUGGGGGUGGUUGACUGAUGGUGCUUACAGCCUUGUCUUUCCAGAGAUGGUUGCUUGGACAUAAAAAGCAUGAGUUCAACACCUCUGAGACUGGGGAGUGGGGAGAGGCUAGAAGCUAGGCCUGAAAGUACUAUAGUCAUUAUUUGUAGAGGAAAAGCAGGAACUGUUUUGUGCUGUCCCAUGUCUAUGUGUAUCUGUUCUGGUCAGAGUCCUGCUAUGUGCAUAGAGGUAUAUAUGCUUCAAGCGGAGGGUCUUAGUACAGGUUAAGAUUUCCCACUGAAAUGAUGGAGAGCCAGACCCUUACCCUAGGGAGCUGAAGGUCCAAUUACAGAGGUGCUGUAAGUAUUGCCCACUGAAAUUGACAGGUUGAGUUGUGUGAUUCUGAAGGGGGAAGUAGAAUCCACUCCUCUGGAUGAAUAAUUUCAGUACUCAGAACCUAAUCCAAAUAUAGGAAAAAUACAGGGCUACAUAAGUGAAAGAGAAUUCCUCCUCAAUUCUGUUCCUUUAAGCCAAGAUUUUGAUAGAUGCUAUACAUUUAAUGAUUACUGUGUGAAACAGAAUUUAGUCUUGGGAGACCAAAAGAUCAGUAGCUGAUAUAUAUCAAACAAGCUACACGUUAAAUAUGAGGUGUGGCAGAGGAAGAAAGAAAAAUGCUUUUAGAUUUGGGUCAUUUGCAAAGGAGAAGGAAGUUUAAACAUUUCAGGGCUUGAUUGUGCACCUCCUAUUCAAGCUGUGUACUACUUAUACAUGGAUAUAGAUAACGUCUUUCUGUGCCUGAUUCUGACAGGACACUGAUGCAUUAUUCUCUCAUUUGUGGUGCAGGAGUGCCCAGUUUCUUUGCUGAGUGCUAUAUAAUCAAAAUGAAAAGAUAGUGACUUCCCUAAGGAACUUAGAGUUUAGCCCGACCACACCAAACUUCAAGAGAGCAACUCUUGUUGUGUAUCUGCAAGUGCAACCUGGAAGAAGCAUUUGGGAUUACCUAAAGGCAAAAUUUGGUCUUAGACAUGGAGGGUGGAGUGGAGACCAGCCCUGCUCCAGAAGAGAUUCAGGAAAGAACAGAGACUAACUGGCCAGCUGACUCUAAGUUGAAGAGGUUGCUUGGAACAACUCUGAGGACAAUGCUUUAAAACAAGGAGGUCAGUUUUUAUCAAGGCCCAGCAAUCAAUGGAGAUCCAGCAGAACCCCACAGGUUCAGGGUUGUGAAGUCAUGCUCCAUCAUACAUGUAAAAAGGCCUAAGGCCAAACAAGCAACCUGUGGACACUGCAGCAUUUUUAAACAGAAGAAGGAACUUACAUUUGUGUCACUUCAGUUCUGCCAAGAUUGGUACACUUGGCUGGAAUUCAAGACCUCUGUCAGAAGUUUGCUUUUUCUGUUCCAUCUUAGUGAUUGGUUUAAAUAGCACCAGACUGUUAUGGAUUAUGGGGGGUUUUGCUUUUCUCUGUAGUUGGGAAUUUGACCCUUUUCCUUGGUACUUUAAAAACCCUUGCACUGGCUGCCAUGGUCCCCUGCUUUACCUGUGGCAUGUUACACCUUGUGGCUGUGUAGCAGGGUUGACAGCAUAGUUUUACUAAUAUGUUAGACAAGAAUUUGUAUGGGAUGGUUUGGGGAGGGAUGAUCCUACUUCUGGCAGGGGGUUGGACUAUAUAACCUCCAGAGAUUCCUUCCAGCCCUACUUUUCUAUGAUUUUAUGACACCACUGGGGAUUUAAUAGUGAUUUUCAAAAGUGGUCUCAGGGAUCUGUAUUUUUUCCCUUUUAUCACUGGACCAGGUUUGCUGAGUCAGAGGUUCCAUCACCCUCUGCUUUGUGUAUAAGCACAUAAAGUCAUACUCUUCUGAUUGGGAAAUUUGCAGCCUAAUGCAGUGAAAUGCCCAAUUGCUUUGGACCUUCAGUGCCUAAUUCUCUUAGGCUCCUUGGAAGUCUGUACCCUUAACUUUGCAAUACAGUUGUCUGUUCAGUCUUAACAUCACACUAAGAGAGAACUGGUAGCAAUUAAUGUAUCCUAAAUCCAACUUUGGAUUGUUGGGGUGAUUUUUUUCCCUCCAUUUAUUUUGAUUUGGAAAAAAAAAAUGUUUCACUGAAUGAUUUUUAAAUAACUUUUCAGUUUUAGAGAAUAAGGAACCCUAUCCUUCUCCCAGUGAAGCUGUUGCCAAACAUCUUAUUAGCUUUAAUAGAAUUAUCAAACCUUUUUAUUAGGAAAAAGCAGAGCAUGUAUAUGUCCUGUUGAUAAUAUGCAAGUGAUAUUUGUUUUCACUGAUAAACUAUGGUUUAUAACAAUGUCACCUGAUUACAUUUUUGUCAUUCAUAACAAUAAAUCCCCCCUCACUUUUCCCAGUGCUUUA